rnacentral:rRNA from 1 species
UACAUGGGGUGCAAACGUUGCUCGGAAUUAUUGGGCUUAAAGCGUGUGUAGGCGGGCCGUUAAGUGUCUUGUGAAAUCCCCCGGCUCAACCGGGGAAUUGCUGGGCAUACUGGCGGUCUUGAGCAAUCUAGGGGCAGAUGGAACAAGUGGUGGAGCGGUGAAAUGCGUUGAGAUCGGAAGGAACGCCGACGGCGAAAGCAAGGUCCUGGACUCGUCCUGACGCUGAGGCGCGAAAGCCAGGGGAGCGAACGGG